AGAGUUUGAUCCUGGCUCAGGACAACGCUGGCGGCGUGCUUAACACAUGCAAGUCGAACGGACCUCAGACCUUCGGGUCUGUGGUUAGUGGCGAACGGGUGAGUAACACGUGAGCAACCUACCCUUGACACUGGAAUAACAGCUGGAAACAGCUGCUAAUACCGGAUACGACCUUCGAUGGCAUCAUCUGGAGGUGGAAAGCUCCGACGGUCAAGGAUGGGCUCGCGGCCUAUCAGCUUGUUGGUGAGGUAACGGCUCACCAAGGCUUCGACGGGUAGCCGGCCUGAGAGGGCGACCGGCCACACUGGGACUGAGAUACGGCCCAGACUCCUACGGGAGGCAGCAGUGGGGAAUAUUGCACAAUGGGCGAAAGCCUGAUGCAGCAACGCCGCGUGCGGGAUGACGGCCUUCGGGUUGUAAACCGCUUUCAGUUCCGACGAAGGUAACCUGACGGUAGGAACAGAAGAAGGACCGGCCAACUACGUG
rnacentral:rRNA from 1 species